rnacentral:rRNA from 1 species
CCGAUGGCGACCGGCGCACGGUGAGUAACACGUAUCCAACCUGCCGAUGACUCGGGGAUAGCCUUUCGAAAGAAAGAUUAAUACCCGAUGGCAUAGUUCUUCCGCAUGGUGGAACUAUUAAAGAAUUUCGGUCAUCGAUGGGGAUGCGUUCCAUUAGGUUGUUGGCGGGGUAACGGCCCACCAAGCCUUCGAUGGAUAGGGGUUCUGAGAGGAAGGUCCCCCACAUUGGAACUGAGACACGGUCCAA